GACAGAGGUGCCGAGCGUUAGGCGGAAUCACUGGGCUUAAAGCGUGUGUAGGCGGACUUCUAAGUACCUUGUGAAAUCCCACGGCUUAACCGUGGAACUGCUUGGUAUACUGGUUGUCUUGGGCCAUCUAGGGGCUACCGGAACAAACGGUGGAGCGGUGAAAUGCGUAGAUAUCGUUUGGAACGCCAAUGGUGAAAACAGGUAGCUGGGGAUGUGCCGACGCUGAGACACGAAAGCCAGGGGAGCGAACGGGAUUAGAUACCCCGGUAGUCCUGGCUGUAAACGAUGUCGACUAGAUCGUAGUGGCUCUAACGCUAUUACGGUCGAAGCAAAAGUGCUAAGUCGACCGCCUGGGAAGUACGGUCGCAAGGCUAAA
rnacentral:rRNA from 1 species